GGGGAAUAUUGGACAAUGGGCGCAAGCCUGAUCCAGCCAUGCCGCGUGAGUGAUGAGGGCCCUAGGGUUGUAAAGCUCUUUCACCGGUGAAGAUAAUGACGGUAACCGGAGAAGAAGCCCCGGCUAACUUCGUGCCAGCAGCCGCGGUAAUACGAAGGGGGCUAGCAUUGUUCGGAAUUACUGGGCGUGAAGCGCACGUAGGCGGACAUUUAAGUCAGGGGUGAAAUCCCGGGGCUCAACCUCGGAACUGCCUUUGAUACUGGGUGUCUUGAGUAUGGAAGAGGUAAGUGGAAUUGCGAGUGUAGAGGUGAAAUUCGUAGAUAUUCGCAGGAACACCAGUGGCGAAGGCGGCUUACUGGUCCAUUACUGACGCUGAGGUGCGAAAGCGUGGGGAGCAAAC
rnacentral:rRNA from 1 species